AAAAAACAAAUAAUGAAACCUCAUAUAAUUUUGGGAAUAUGGCCCAUAAGUUUCUACCCGACCGCCACAUUGGUCGGACUAUGAGGGGAAGUUAACACCAU
rnacentral:ncRNA from 2 species